CUCCUGUCCCGGGACCCACCCAGGCGGAGGCAAGGGCAGGGGCGCUGGGGGCCCAGAGAGAGGGCGCCGCGAUGGAUGAAUGAGCUGUUUCCAGCAUUCCUGCUUCAACUCAAAAUUUUCCUUCAUGGCACAGUGGAAAGCUUUGAAGACGGCGGUUCUGGGGCUGAAUAUGAAGGCAACUCGGACUAAGAAGACGACUGCUUUCCAACUGCCCUCCCGUCCUGCAGCCGCCUGAUUUGAGGAAGGGGCUGGGAUCCUUCCCCUUGCCCUCUGGUUGUUCUUGGAGUUACAGCAGCCCCGCGGCAGCUCUGCCCCCUAGUGCACAUGUGAGGCAGCGCGCCCUUCUCCAAUCCAGAAGCCUCGUCGCGGUGCUGCCAGCAAGGGAGUUUUUCUGUAUUCACUUUGGUGGAAAUAGCAAAACUUGACAGAAAAAAAACCCAAGCCAAACCAAAACACACGAACCAUUCUAGCCUUUUCUCUCUUUCGUUUCUUUCUGAGGAUCUGGCCGAUUUGGAUGCAGAAAACAUGCCUGUUGCUUCUGCUGCGAAAUCUGCUCUUUCUCUUCCUGCUAUCGGAACCCUGUCCCUUCUUUCAAAGCCUAAUUCAGGCCAGGCGCGGUGGCUCACGCCUGUAAUCCCAGCACUUUGGGAGGCCGAGACAGACGGAUCACUUGAGGUCAAGAGUUUGAGACCAGCCUGGCCAAAAUGGUGAAACCCUGUCUCUACUAAAAAUACAAAAAUUAGCUGGACAUGGUAGCACACGCCUGUAAUCCCAGCUACUCGGGAGGCUGAGGCAGGAGAAUCACUUGAACCCGAGAGACGGAGGUUACAGUGAGCUGAUAUCAGGCCACUGCACUCCAGCCUGGGUGACAGAGUGAGACUCCAUCUCAAAAAAAAAAAAAAAAAAGCCUAUUUCAAAUUCCACCCCUUGCCUAAAAACUUUUCCUGACUUCUGACUUUCCUCUCCUAUGCGUCUUUUUUAUUUUUUAUUUUUGAGCUGGAGUCUCACUGUGUCACCCAGGCUGGAGUGCAGUGUCGCAAUCUCCGCUCACUGCAACCUCCGCCUCUGGGGUUCAAGCAGUUCUGCCUCAGCCUCCCGAGUAGCUGGGAUUACAGCCACCCGCCACCAUGCCUGGCUGAUUUUUUGUAUUUUUAGUAGAGACGGGGUUUCAUCAUGUUUGUCAGGCUGGUCUCGAACUCCUAACCUCAAGUGAUCCACCCGCCUUGGCCUCCCAAAGUGCUGGGAUUACAGGCAUGAGCCACCGCGCCCAGCCAUCCUAUAUGUCUUUUGAAAUAUGGCUGUACACAGGCUCAGCACACAGUGUGCACUUAUAUACUGUAUUUCUUUAUUGGGGUCCAAGUCUGUGCAUCUUUUGUGUUCACAGACCCCAGGGUGCCCAGCACAGGGCUGGGGACACAAACUGCUCUCAAUAAGCCCCUGUUUAUUAAUUAAUUGAUUAGCUUCCACAGAAACAACUGAGGUUUUGCUUCAAUAAACCUUGCAGAACUCUUAGUUCUUUAGGGACUCUGGAUAGUGAUCUAAUCAAAUAUGGCCUUGCACAGUAAGUCAUUUCACAAAGCAAUUUCACAAGAGAACACUAACAUCACCCAGAGUGGGAUGAGGAAGUCUGAAAUUUGAAGUGGACUCUCAGAAAGAUGAGGAAGGUGGCGGUGCUGUAGACAGGUCAAAGGACAAUGACUUAGGAGAGGUGGGUCUCUGCUUCUGGGAUAGAAGACGCAGCACGGGCCCUAGAGUUAGCUUCAUAUCCAGACUCUACCACUUGCUGUAUGUCCCUGGGCAAGUUUACUCUUCUCUCUGUGCCUCAGUUUUCUCCUCUGUAAAAAAAGGCCGGGCAUGGUGGCUCCUGCCUGUAAUCCCAGCACUUUGGGGGGCCAAGGUGGGCGGAUCACCAGCGGUCAGGAGCUUGAGACGAGCCUGGACAACAUGGUGAAAACCCAUCUCUACUAUAAAUACAAAAAUUAGCAAGGUGUGGUGGCACGCGCCUGUAGUCCCAGCUACUCUGGAGACUGAGGCAGGAAAAAUCGCUUGAACUCAGGAGGCAGAGGUUGCAGUGAGCCAAGAUCGCACCACUGCAGUCCAGCCUGGGUGACUGAGCAAGACUCCGUCUCCAAAAAAAAAAAAAAAAAAAAAAGUACCUAUCUCAUAGUGAUACAAUGAGGGUGAAUUAGCUGGUAUUUGUAAAGUGCUAAAGCAACACCUUGCACCUCGUAAGUACCAUGUAACUGUUUGUAAAUGAAUUUUCCAGCUUAGCUGUCUUGUCAUUGGAAUGGGGAUUGAUUAUAUGUUCUCUUGGUUCCCUCGAGCAGUGACCUUUCAGGGCAGUGCAUAAGCUUUGGGGUCAGGCAGGUCUGGGUUGACUCCUAUCUUUGUCGGUAGUUGUGUGACUUUGCACAGAUAACUUCUCGGAACCUCAGUGUUCUUAUCUGUGAAAUGGGAAUAAUUGUGUCUACUUCAAAAGACUGUUGUGGGUAUUGCAUGUUUGUAAUGUGCCUGGCACAGAAGGAGUGUAAUAAACAGAAGCUAUAGUUAUUAUUGUGGACAAGAGCAGCCACAUGUAAAGGAAAAUAGAGUUUCCAAGGUCAUUGAAGUUUCCAGAAAGACUGAACAUAUCAGAUAGCAAUGAGACCAGCUCAACUUGUGGAGCUUGGUGGGAGGGUGGGCCUGGGUCUGCGCCAGGAGUAAAUAUCACCCCAUUUGAGGAAGCAGAAACGGUGUGACUUGCACAUCAGCUCUAAGAACAUUUUCUGCUCCAGGGCUGUGCUGAGGGCGUGGACCCACUGGGGCUGGAUGCCAGGAGCUGGAGGCCUCUCCGGCUCUCCUUCCCAGGAGGGGAGAUUUUAGUAGAGAGGGUGUGGGUGGGCCUUGGAAACCUCUUGUUGUGUGUGCGUGGGGUGCGGGGGAGUGUCAGAAUGGCCCAGGGAUAUCUGGCCUUGGUAGGUGUACUCCCAGGCCUGGGGUGGCCUUCCUCAUGGCAGAACCUGCCUUCACGGCUCCUCAAAGCUGCCAUCCUUCACUCCAACUGAAGACACCCCUGACUGAUUGCCUGCAAUUAUCCGAGGAGUGGGGGAAGGAGGGUUUUGGUAGUCUUGCAGCCAAAUUAAUCUUAAUUCCCUUCAACUCGUGUGGAAAAGUACCCAACGAAAUAUGCAAAUGCUGCAUGUAUUCCUUCAGUAAAGGGGAAGGAGGGUUGCAACAUCAAACAAUGAUAGGGUGUCGCAAUCCUAAACGUGUGAGGAAUUACUCUUAAGGUCCUCGUACUUGACAGCUCCGGGCCCCCAUGACACAUGAGGAGUUUUGUGCUCCGAAACAGGCCAGGGCCAGGGUGUCUACCACGCUUACCACUAGCUGUGAUUUGGGGGCCUCAAACACAGCCUGAGACCUGGCAAAACCAUCUUAGGAACUGGGGAUCACAGAGGACUCUGCAAACCUCCUUCUAAACUCAUAUUUCCAGUAAUGGCAACAGGGUGGGCCCUUAAUAGCUCCUGGAGCAGAAAUUGAAGGUUGAGCUAUCUUUAAAAAAAACAUGGCAGGCGUGGUGGCUCAUCCCAGCACUGUGGGAGGCUGAGGUGGGAGGAUCACUUGAGGCCAGGAAUUCAAGACCAACCUGGUCAACAUAGUGA
rnacentral:lncRNA from 1 species